UUUUUUUUUGUCUCAUUUACUGUUAAUAAGUGUAAUAUUUGGGUAAUUUGCUUCCCCAAUCUCCCUCUCUUCCAUAAUCUCAUUAGCAAGUUGUGUGAUGUAGAUGAAUCACACGUGUCUUUUUGCAUGUCAUUACCCCUGGCGUUUUCUGAAUCUGAGCAUCCAACAUUUCAUUUUUAGUGGGCACUAGUUUCAAUUUCUUCACCAUGACACACUGUGUUUUACUUUAUCAAUGCCUUGGGUUCCUCACAGUCUUUGUACUAUUUCAUGUUUGGACAAGACCCCUCCUUUGUUUUAGACCAUCGGAUAACAUCCCACAAACAGGAUCCGACGGAUAACAGUCGUCAUUGGUGAAUAGGGGUAAAGUGACUGGUGGUUGUGGCCCCCGUCAGGCUAUCUGCUGCUACUUUAUUGACGCAAAUAAUAGUCCUCAGUACGACUGGUAGCUUUGUCUAUGUGUAUUGAUUGUGUUGGGGAGAGGGCUGGGAAGGGACGGAUUCCUGAGAGCCAUUGUCAUUUGUCAAGGCCAAAGUUUUAAUCUUUUAUCUAUGCUGACAAGGUUAAUUGAAAAAAUGAAAAAUCAAACCGAAAAUCAAACCAACAACAUCUAAUCAAACCCAAAAAAAAACCACUUUUUUAAAUAAACUCCAUGACCGGGAAAUUCUUGAAAUAUGGCUUGUUCUGUAUCUUAAUUGGAAAUUACUGUUCUCAUUAUUGAUGAGUGAUUUGCCAUAGAUGAUGGGCACUAUCAUGUUUCUAUUGAUAUCGAGCUUUUUAUGGAGCCAUUAUCUGAAAAAGCAGUGCAUAUGUUUCUAGUUUCGUGUUGACAUUCCCACUAAAUGAAUUUGAUUCUUUUUCAUGUUUUUUGAAGUUUUAGGGCAAGAUUACUCAUUGGUAAUUAAUUAAAUUAUUGUCUCCUUUGCCCUAUCCGCCUGGGAUUUUUUUUUUUUUUAAUGGGGAAGGGGACUGCAGUGUGUCUGUUUCACAUUUUAUCAGGUCCGAGGCAAUCCCCUGUAGGUUGCUCUGUUCAUGAGCCACAAUUACCUCAGCCACAAAAGCAGUUUUAUAUGACAGUUCUUGUUAUUUUACUUUUGGACAUGACCUUUGCAUGGGCUAAAAUUGGAGAUCCUAGGAGAAUUUUUAAGGCUAAAUGUGAGCUGUAAGGCUGCUUGGGAACCUGGUCUUAGGAGCCCAGAUGCUCCAUCAGGUGUUCCUAAAAGCCGCCUUCAAAUGCAACUUUGCCAGUGCUACUUGACUGGGGAUGAGAACGCUUGGCAAAUAUGCUUACUUUUUUUUUUUUUUGG
rnacentral:misc_RNA from 1 species